UGGGGAAUAUUGGACAAUGGGCGCAAGCCUGAUCCAGCCAUGCCGCGUGAGUGACGAAGGUCUUCGGAUUGUAAAGCUCUUUUGGCGGGGACGAUAAUGACGGUACCCGCAGAAUAAGCCCCGGCUAACUUCGUGCCAGCAGCCGCGGUAAUACGAAGGGGGCUAGCGUUGUUCGGAAUUACUGGGCGUAAAGCGCACGUAGGCGGACUCUUAAGUCAGGGGUGAAAUCCCGGGGCUCAACCUCGGAAUUGCCUUUGAUACUGUGAGUCUUGAGACCGGAAGAGGUGAGUGGAAUUCCUAGUGUAGAGGUGAAAUUCGUAGAUAUUAGGAAGAACACCAGUGGCGAAGGCGGCUCACUGGUCCGGUUCUGACGCUGAGGUGCGAAAGCGUGGGGAGCAAACAGGAUUAGAUACCCCCGUAGUCC
rnacentral:rRNA from 1 species